rnacentral:rRNA from 1 species
ACGCGACUGGCACUUGGAGAAGUGGCAAGUCUUCCAGUAUGGGGAGCAAAACAGCUAUGGGUCAAGUCCGAUAUCUUUAGGAGAAGUCUUAUUGUGAGGGCGAGUUAUAUAACACCAUAGGACUGGCCGUCCCAUAUGAAAAGAUUAUAUUAGAAUUGAAUGAAGCUUUGUUUAUAUAUUGAUAAUGACAGUAUAUAUAUCGUGUCUUGACUAAUUGCGUGCCAGCAGUCGCGGUAAUACGUAAGAGACUAGUGUUAUUCAUCUUAAUUAGGUUUAAAGGGUACCCAGACGGUCAAUAUAGCUUAUAAAAUGUUAGUACUUGACUAGAGUUUUAUGUAAGAGGGCAGUACUUGAGGAGGAGAGAUGAAAUUUCGUGAUACCAAAGGGACUCUGUAAAGGCGAAGGCAGCCCUCUAUGUAAAAACUGACGUUGAAGGACGAAGGCACAGAGAACAAACAGGAUUAGAUACCCAAGUAGUCUUUGCAGUAAAUGAUGAAUGCCAUAGGUUAGAUUGAUCAAUUAUAGUCUAGGGUUAGUCUAGCAAACUAAUGCCCUAUGAUAUAAUUCAAAAUAUCUGGUCUAUAAAUGAAAGUGUAAGCAUUUCACCUCAAGAGUAAUGUGGCAACGCAGGAACUGAAAUCACUAGACCGUUUCUGACACCAGUAGUGAAGUAUGUUAUUUAAGUAUUAAUUUCCACCCCCAAA